UACGUAGGGUGCGAGCGUUAAUCGGAAUUACUGGGCGUAAAGCGUGCGUAGGUGGUUCGUUAAGUCUGAUGUGAAAGCCCUGGGCUCAACCUGGGAAUGGCAUUGGAUACUGGCGACCUAGAGUGCGGUAGAGGGUGGCGGAAUUCCCGGUGUAGCAGUGAAAUGCGUAGAUAUCGGGAGGAACAUCCGUGGCGAAGGCGGCCACCUGGACCAGCACUGACACUGAGGCACGAAAGCGUGGGGAGCAAACAGG
rnacentral:rRNA from 1 species